ensembl:lncRNA
UUUGAUUUCACAGAAGUGUGAUUGACUUGGAGUUACAUUGUGUUGUUUAAGUGUUCCCUUUAUUUAUAUAUACAUAUAAACAUAUAAACAUAUAUAUGUUUUUUUUCUAAACAAUAUCAACACUAUAGGGUCAUUUGCACACAAAAACGUCAAACAACUGUGGAAGGACCACCAGAGGGCAGGCUGGGCUCAUGGAUAGUAGCCCAACAAGGCAUAGGAGACAAGGUAACCAGAGGCAAUUAAGCACAGCUGACGGUACUAAUGACAUACUCUCCUUCCCCUAUAAGAGAGAGAAUGGAACCAGCAGAGAGGUGGGGGAAACUAUCUCUGGAAGAUGGCCACCGAGAGAGAGAGGAGCUAUCCAGGAAGAACCACUAAGACGAGUGACGCCCAAUUACUUGGUCCGCUCACACAACAAAACAAUCCCCCAGAAUCUGCAAAGCCAGAGGAAAAAGGGUUAGGACCCGCGGUAACCAGGAUUCCUCAGAACAGCACACGUCAACAAACCAGAGCUUUGACACGUCAGAACACUAGGAACCCCGACAGGCCUUGUAUGGAGGUCGUGCCAAUGCUUUGACAUUACGUAAAAACAACAACCAGGAAAAGCCUUGUGAUCAAGAAAGAGCCCUGACGGGUGUCCGUUGAAUUCUCUAAGGCUCUAGAGAAGGGGUAUCGUGUGGCCAACAUCUUUGAAGUGUGGAACUUUUCCAGGAAAUCAGACACUUUUUUUUUUUUAAAGAGUACAUCAAGACCUUCUUGAGAUGCAAGCAAAUGGCACCAGGGUAUCCUGCAUCAGUCACAGAUCACGAGCGCAAAGACGAGUACAUUCAGGACUAUCACGACCGAGAAGGUAUACCUGACAGAAUAGAGGUCAACAAAACCAAAAUAAAUCUGUCAGUUGUAUUUAAACUCGCUUUGGGGCAAACUAUCCCAGAGAAGCAAUAUGCUAACAAUGUCGAUCAUUAAAGACCCCAAAGAAUUUUUGGAAUUAGUUUUUUCGGACCAAUACGAAAUUUCACAUUUUUCAUUCUUGAGUCAAGACAUUGCCCUGGUGCAAUGGAGACGUAACAAGAAGUGGGUUUUACCCCCGGGGAAUGUAAAUGUGUUUCUUGCAGCAUUUACCAUGGCCUAUGGUCGACUUGAACUGUACACGCUCAUGGAACAGUUGCAGAGGCGUGUUCUUUAUCAUGACACAGGCUCAGGCUCUGUGGUCUAUGUAAGCAAACCGGGUGAUUGGAACCCCCCUCUUAGCAACUAUCUGGGUGGUUUAACGAGUGAACUCGAAGAUGUGACCAUAUCACAGAGUGGUCCUCCUGUGGUCCCAAAAGCUAUGUUUUUAGGACUAAAGACAAUCAUGUAGUGUUGAAAGCCAAAGGCUUUUAAAAAAACUAUGAAAAUGCCCCGUGUGUAAACUUGGAGGAAAUCACAUGCUUGGUCGAGGGGUUCAUAAACGACCGGAAUAGUGAAUUGGAAAUUUUGAACUCCUCCUACAAAAAGAUUGUUAGGGAUAAAAAGGUUUUCCAUCUAACAAAAUUGGUGACUGGUUUAAUGCUAAAUUUGGAAAUGCGAUGGGAAAAGUUAUGUUUACUCCUAUACUUGUAGGAGGUUUGGUAAUUUUGGUUACUGUUUAUAUUUAUAAGAAAAUGACUAACUGCUCUUGAACAUGCUGGAAUGAUGGUGUUGGUUGAAGCUGAUACAAAUUAUGCUGAAGGUGAUACUGGUGCAUUUCUGGUUUCUCCUAAUCCCAUUUGUUUAUUCAACUCGUGUGGUUCUUCCCUGGACUCAUGAGGAAUGGGAGUAUAGACAGACUCACCCACCCCCACCAGCAUUCCAGGAACCUCAGGAGUUGUUUCUCCCUUUAGCAGGCCAUCCCUGGGAUCAAAUGGAUCUGGGGGAUUUGCCUAAUCUAUUUGAAUUCAGAGGAGAAUAUUAGGAUUGAAGCUGUGAGACUAAUUUGUCUCUAAGGGGGAAAUGUCAGGGGUUCACCUAGGGGUCAUGAUAGGGGCUGUACCAAAUGUUUGAUGCAUUAUAAUAAUUGAUUAUGCUUAUGUUGAAUUAAUAGAAGGGGAUGGGUCAUAAGACCGCUCCCUCCUUACAUUUAUAGGGUCCUAGACUACAGAUUAACAAUAUUUAUAUUCAUUAUACAGGUUUAAUAUUGUUCCACAGUCUUUUCUAAUCUCUGCAUAUUAUAAAGAAACUGUCUGAGAAAUGUGUGACUGAAGACAGAACUCUGCAGGGGAGUGUAAGAGACUAGUCAGACAUUCAACUAUAAAUCAACUUGGACAUUUAGUGCUAAGCUUUUAGAUAACUCUUGUUUAUAUAGCUAUGUAGGCAUGGUUUGGUCUCAUGAGUAGAAGGUAAUGACGUAGGCAGUUACAUCACAGGGGGUGGACUACAAGCAUUAUAAAAGCAACUUACGCACCUUUUCUAUUUUGCACAACUUACUCAGAAACAUGCAUGCUAUGUUCCUGUUGUCAACUUCUGUUAGCAAUUGUAUUAAAUAAAUGAAUGAUUUUCUUAAAGAUAUUGUCUGAAUGCUAAUUUCACCAAUGAGCCAAUGAUUAACAAGGAACGAACCCCAACACUUGCCUCUGAAGGUAAGCAGGGUUGGUCUUGGUCGGCCCCUGGAUGAGACCAGGGCCUGUAUCCACAAAGCAUCUCAGAGUAGCAGUGCUGAUCUAGCAUAAGUAUUGAAUUUUAGAUCAUAAUAUACUGAAC